rnacentral:rRNA from 1 species
GAUGAACGCUGGCGGCGUGCCUAAUACAUGCAAGUCGAGCGAACAGACGAGGAGCUUGCUCCUCUGACGUUAGCGGCGGACGGGUGAGUAACACGUGUAUAACCUACCUAUAAGACUGGGAUAACUUCGGGAAACCGGAGCUAAUACCGUAUAAUAUAUUGAACCGCAUGGUUCAAUAGUGAAAGACGGUUUUGCUGUCACUUAUAGAUGGAUCCGCGCCGCAUUAGCUAGUUGGUAAGGUAACGGCUUACCAAGGCAACGAUGCGUAGCCGACCUGAGAGGGUGAUGGCCACACUGGAACUGAGACACGGUCCAGACUCCUACGGGAGGCAGCAGUAGGGAAUCUUCCGCAAUGGGCGAAAGCCUGACGGAGCAACGCCGAGUGAGUGAUGAAGGUCUUCGGAUCGUAAAAAUCUGUUAUUAGGGAAGAACCAAUGUGUAAGUAACUAUGCACGUCUUGACGGUACCUAAUCAGAAAGCCACGGCUAACUACGUG